UAAUUUCCGUUAGAGUGUCUGUAAGUUUUUUUUCUCUUUCUUGUGAAACGCCCUCCACCUGUUUUGCAGCAUUUGGAUUUCCGGCGGGAGCAGAUUUCCAGCGAGCCCAGGAGCAAAGAGGUCAUUAGCUGACUAAUUCUGAAUAUUGAAAAUUAAACUGAAAUUGAUAGACGUGACCUCCGGGGGGAGGAAAGAAAGAGGCAGCAACUUGAAAAGCAACAAGAGUUGAUUCAGCAGCGAAAUUAGACUGGAAUUUGGGAACAUGAGCCGCCCUUUCGAUAUUCAGAUGGCCCCCAGCUUGUAGCAUCUUUUUGAACUGAAACCAAAUUUGCCUCUUGGGUGACUCGGCAAGCCUCCAGUACUUUCAUUUAAUGGUUGGAUCUCACAUGUAAAGGAAGCGUUUGACGAAGAGGCGAGUUUCUUUAACAUAUAAUAAACACAGAAUACAUUAAGACAUCCGCUCAGUCGGUUUACAAAUGGAUUUUAAACUGAACUGGGAGCGGAGUUUGUCGCGAUGUUUUCCUUCACCCGAAAAUAAACUACAUUUUUCAUGAA